GAUGGUUCUUCUCUAUCUUCAACUUGAGGAUAAAUAUUGUAUGAGAUGAUCUUCAAAAAGAUUGAGGCUUCUGGUAUGAGCAUUGUAUUCAGAAUCUUGUCAGUGCUCUUAGGGUUAUACCUGUGGGUGAGAGUAUUCCAGAGAAUCUCCCAGCUGCACUUAAAAGGUAGCUCAUCCAGGCUUCUGUAGUUUUGAAGCUUUACUCCGUUGUUG
rnacentral:lncRNA from 1 species